ACAGAGGCGCGGAAUGCAUCAGUAUCCCUUCGUAUGGUCGCCCGCCGCAAGGAGCGAAGGCGAAAAAGGGCAUCGCCGCCGAAAGUCGGCCAAUCGGCAAGCGGCCGGCUUGGUUCCAAUCGCCGAAAGGUCUGGAACUGUCACGGGAGUUCCUCCUGUGGUGCGCUGUG
rnacentral:ncRNA from 1 species